rnacentral:rRNA from 1 species
UACGUAGGGUGCGAGCGUUGUCCGGAAUUACUGGGCGUAAAGAGCUCGUAGGUGGUUUGUCGCGUUGUCCGUGAAAACUCACAACUCAAUUGUGGGCGUGCGGGCGAUACGGGCAGACUGGAGUACUGCAGGGGAGACUGGAAUUCCUGGUGUAGCGGUGGAAUGCGCAAAUAUCAGGAGGAACACCGGUGGCGAAGGCGGGUCUCUGGGCAGUAACUGGCGCUGAGGAGCGAAAGCGUGGGGAGCGAACAGG